GUCGGUAUACGAGUCAUUUCACGAACGACCACAAACAGCGUUCAACACAUUCCAUUUACAUUUAAGUGCGUAAUAUAAGUUAAUCAUGGAUUCCAUCAAAAGAAUGCAAAAAACCAUCAAACAUUGGUUUAUAAGAUACCUUGUUUCCACUGAGCUGUACAUGGUCGAACCCUGGGAAAAGGUAGUAAUACAUGUUCUACUUGCCAUGGUCUUCAUAUUGUUUUGGUAUUUCAAUUAUGCAAUCAUCGUUAAUGGAGUUUCUCAGCUGAGGGGCACACCGCAGAUAGAAGAGUUAGGGACUACAGUACAAUAAUUUAAGGUUUUAUAAAUAUGUCUAACAUAUAUUGUUAAAUAAAAAUUUAUUGUUAAUUAAUAAAUAAUAUUAAAUUUAA